AACGAACGCUGGCGGCAUGCCUAACACAUGCAAGUCGAACGAGACCUUCGGGUCUAGUGGCGCACUGGUGCGUAACGCGUGGGAACCUGCCCUUAGGUUCGGAAUAACUCCCCGGAAGGGGUGCUAAUACCGGAUAAUGUCUUCGGACCAAAGAUUUAUCGCCUUUGGAUGGGCCCGCGUUGGAUUAGCUAGUUGGUAGGGUAAAAGCCUACCAAGGCGACGAUCCAUAGCUGGUCUGAGAGGAUGAUCAGCCACACUGGGACUGAGACACGGCCCAGACUCCUACGGGAGGCAGCAGUGGGGAAUAUUGGAAAAUGGGCGAAAGCAUGAUCCAGCAAUGCCGCGUGAGUGAUGAAGGCCUUAGGGUUGUAAAGCUCUUUUACCCGGGAUGAUAAUGACAGUACCGGGAGAAUAAGCUCCGGCUAACUCCGUG
rnacentral:rRNA from 1 species